CGUGGGUAACCUGCCCAAGAGAUCGGGAUAACACCUGGAAACAGAUGCUAAUACCGGAUAACAACAGAUGAUGCCUAUCAACUGUUUAAAAGAUGGUUCUGCUAUCACUCUUGGAUGGACCUGCGGUGCAUUAGCUAGUUGGUAGGGUAACGGCCUACCAAGGCGAUGAUGCAUAGCCGAGUUGGGAGACUGAUCGGCCACAUUGGGACUGAGACACGGCCCAAACUCCUACGGGAGGCAGCAGUA
rnacentral:rRNA from 1 species